UACGUAGGCGGUUGUGAAAGUCAGAAGUGAAAUCCCAGGGCUCAACCCUGGAACUGCUUUUGAAACUUCAUAACUAGAGUCCCGGAGAGGUUGGCAGAAUUCCCAGUGUAGAGGUGAAAUUCGCAGAUAUUGGGAGGAAUACCAGUGGCGUAGGCGGCCAACUGGACGGGAACUGACGCUGAGGUACGAAAGCGUGGGGAGCAAACAGGAUUAGAUACCCUGGUAGUCC
rnacentral:rRNA from 1 species